AUUUGCUAAAUAUCAUAAAAGCACCAGAUCCUGACUAUUCUUAAAAGCUAAGCAGGGUCAGCCCUGGUUAGUACUUGGAUGGGAGACCACCAAAAAAUACCAGGUUUUGUAGAUG
rnacentral:rRNA from 1 species